rnacentral:rRNA from 1 species
CUUCGGCCCGAGUUGUAAUUUGCAGAGGAUGUUUAUGGUGCGGUACCUUCCGAGUUCCCUGGAACGGGACGCCACAGAGGGUGAGAGCCCCGUCUGGUUGGAUACCAAACCUGUGUUAAACUCCUUCAACGAGUCGAGUAGUUUGGGAAUGCUGCUCUAAAUGGGAGGUAAAUCUCUUCUAAAGCUAAAUACCGGCCAGAGACCGAUAGCGCACAAGUAGAGUGAUCGAAAGAUGAAAAGCACCUUGAAAAGGGGGUUAAACAGUACGUGAAAUUGUUGAAAGGGAAGCGUUUAUGACCAGACUUGUGUCGUGUGGCUCAUCCGAGGUUCUCCCCGGUGCACUCCACGCGGCUCAGGCCAACAUCGGUUGUCGUUGGGGGAUAAGAACAGUAGGAACGUGGCCCCUCUCGGGGGGUGUUAUAGCCUAUUGUACGAUACCCUGAUGGCGACCGAGGACCGCGCUUCGGCUAGGAUGUUGGCGUAAUGGUCAUUAGCGACCCGUCUUGAAACACGGACCAAGGAGUCGUCCAUUAGAGCGAGCGUUUGGGUGUAAAACCCGCACGCGUAAUGAAAGUGAAAUUAGGUGAGAGCUUCGGCGCAUCAUCGACCGAUCCUGAAGUUUACGGAUGGAUUUGAGUAAGAGUUUUAACGGACGGACCCGAAAGACAGUGAACUAUGCUUGAAUAGGGUGAAGCCAGAGGAAACUCUGGUGGAGGCUCGCAGCGGUUCUGACGUGCAAAUCGAUCGUCAAAUUUGAGCAUGGGGGCGAAAGACUAAUCGAA